AAGCCCCGGCUCACUUUCGUGCCAGCAGCCGCGGUAAUACGAAGGUGGCUAGCGUUGCUCGGAAUUACUGGGCGUUAAGGGCGCGUAGGCGGAUCGUUAAGCUCAGAGGUGAAAUCCCAGGGCUCACCCCUGGAACUGCCUUUGAUACUGGCGAUCUUGAUUAUGAGAGAGGUAUGUGGAACUCCGAGUGUAGUGGUGAAAUUCGUAGAUAUUCGGAAGAACACCAGUGGCGAAGGCGACAUACUGGCUCAUUACUGACGCUGAGGCGCGAAAGCGUGGGGAGCAAACAGGAUUAGAUACCCCGGUAGUCCACGCCGUAAACGAUGAUUGCUAGUUGUCGGGCUGCAUGCAUUUCGGUGACGCAGCUAACGCAUUAAGCAAUCCGCCUGGGGAGUACGGUCGCAAGAUUAAAACUAAAAGGAAUUGACGGGGGCCCGCACAAGCGGUGGAGCAUGUGGUUUAAUUCGAAGCAACGCGCCGAACCUUACCACCUUUUGACAUGC
rnacentral:rRNA from 1 species